UGAGGAACAAUUUUGUCAGGAUAAAUGC
rnacentral:piRNA from 1 species